rnacentral:rRNA from 1 species
GAUGAACGCUGGCGGCGUGCCUAAUACAUGCAAGUCGAGCGAACGGACGAGAAGCUUGCUUCUCUGAUGUUAGCGGCGGACGGGUGAGUAACACGUGGAUAACCUACCUAUAAGACUGGGAUAACUUCGGGAAACCGGAGCUAAUACCGGAUAAUAUUUUGAACCGCAUGGUUCAAAAGUGAAAGACGGUCUUGCUGUCACUUAUAGAUGGAUCCGCGCUGCAUUAGCUAGUUGGUAAGGUAACGGCUUACCAAGGCAACGAUGCAUAGCCGACCUGAGAGGGUGAUCGGCCACACUGGAACUGAGACACGGUCCAGACUCCUACGGGAGGCAGCAGUAGGGAAUCUUCCGCAAUGGGCGAAAGCCUGACGGAGCAACGCCGCGUGAGUGAUGAAGGUCUUCGGAUCGUAAAACUCUGUUAUUAGGGAAGAACACAUGUGUAAGUAACUGUGCACAUCUUGACGGUACCUAAUCAGAAAGCCACGGCUAACUACGUGCCAGCAGCCGCGGUAAUACGUAGGUGGCAAGCGUUAUCCGGAAUUAUUGGGCGUAAAGCGCGCGUAGGCGGUUUUUUAAGUCUGAUGUGAAAGCCCACGGCUCAACCGUGGAGGGUCAUUGGAAACUGGAAAACUUGAGUGCAGAAGAGGAAAGUGGAAUUCCAUGUGUAGCGGUGAAAUGCGCAGAGAUAUGGAGGAACACCAGUGGCGAAGGCGACUUUCUGGUCUGUAACUGACGCUGAUGUGCGAAAGCGUGGGGAUCAAACAGGAUUAGAUACCCUGGUAGUCCACGCCGUAAACGAUGAGUGCUAAGUGUUAGGGGGUUUCCGCCCCUUAGUGCUGCAGCUAACGCAUUAAGCACUCCGCCUGGGGAGUACGACCGCAAGGUUGAAACUCAAAGGAAUUGACGGGGACCCGCACAAGCGGUGGAGCAUGUGGUUUAAUUCGAAGCAACGCGAAGAACCUUACCAAAUCUUGACAUCCUUUGACAACUCUAGAGAUAGAGCUUUCCCCUUCGGGGGACAAAGUGACAGGUGGUGCAUGGUUGUCGUCAGCUCGUGUCGUGAGAUGUUGGGUUAAGUCCCGCAACGAGCGCAACCCUUAAGCUUAGUUGCCAUCAUUAAGUUGGGCACUCUAAGUUGACUGCCGGUGACAAACCGGAGGAAGGUGGGGAUGACGUCAAAUCAUCAUGCCCCUUAUGAUUUGGGCUACACACGUGCUACAAUGGACAAUACAAAGGGCAGCGAAACCGUGAGGUCAAGCAAAUCCCAUAAAGUUGUUCUCAGUUCGGAUUGUAGUCUGCAACUCGACUACAUGAAGCUGGAAUCGCUAGUAAUCGUAGAUCAGCAUGCUACGGUGAAUACGUUCCCGGGUCU